GAUGAACGCUGGCGGCGUGCCUAAUACAUGCAAGUCGAACGCGCCGAGAAGGGAACUUGUUCCUUUCAACGCGAGUGGCGAACGGGUGAGUAACACGUGGGAAACCUACCCUUCAGCGGGGGAUAACCAUCGGAAACGAUGACUAAUACCGCAUAGUUGUUCCAGUCGCAUGACUGGAAUGGGAAAGACGGCUUCGGCUGUCACUGAAGGAUGGUGCCGCGGUGCAUUAGCUAGACGGUGGGGUAACGGCCUACCGUGGCUUUGAUGCAUAGCCGACCUGAGAGGGUGAUCGGACACAUUGGGACUGAGACACGGCCCAAACUCCUACGGGAGGCAGCAGUAGGGAAUCUUCCGCAAUGGACGCAAGUCUGACGGAGCAACGCCGCGUGUGUGAAGAAGGUCUUCGGAUCGUAAAGCACUGUUAUCAGAGAAGAAUAAACGAUAGAGUAACUGUUAUAGGUUUGACGGUAACUGAUCAGAAAGCCACGGCUAACUACGUG
rnacentral:rRNA from 1 species